CCAAGAUCUCGGAACGGCUCUGAGCCCUGCGCACGCGGGAAGGGCUGCCGGAGGCGCCCGUAGGGAGGCGCGCGCGCGGGCGGCUCAGGGCCCGCGUUCCUCUCCCUCCCGCCUACCGCCACUUUCCCGCCCUGUGUGCGCCCCCACCCCCACCACCAUCUUCCCACCCUCAGCGCGGGCGCCCCGCGGUGACGGCCCAGGGGCCGGACGCCUGGAACGCAACUCCAGGCAGCUCGCCCCCUAGCUACAUCCGUCACCUGACACGGCCCUACCAGGAACAGCCGCGCUCCCGCGGAUUCUGGUGCUGCUCGCGUCCCCGCUCCCCUAUUCCCCUUAUUUUAUUCCUGGCUCCCCUCGUCGAAAGUCUUCCAUUCUUCAAACUAGAUUAUUUAAAAAUGAAAAAGGAAGAAAGGAAAGCGAGGUCAUCUCAUUGCUCUAUCCGCCAAUCAGGAGGCUGAAUGUCAGUUUUGAACUAAAAGCCGCUCCGCUCCUCUUCUAGAUUUGGAAAACAAGCGAAAUUAAACUAAACCGCUGCACGCCUCUGACGCGACAUCUGGACACGGCGCGGCGCUGGCGCUGCCGGAGCUGUCGACCCGGCCUGGCGCCGGACUAGUGUCCCUUUUGAUGAGAAGAAUAAGCCUCAUUCUGAUUCAACAGCAGAGAUCAAAGAAAAGACUUCUGUUUUCUGGCCACCAGAUAUAUGUUAUCUGUGCUUAAAGAAUUGAAAAACACACAUCAAAGGAGAAUUUUCUUGGAAAGAGAGGGUUCAAGCAUCACUGUUAGGUGUGCUGGAAUCCUUUCCCGAGUCAGUACUGCUUUCUAGAAGAAAACCGGGGAGAUCUAUUUGGAAUGUAUCUAACUCCAAAGAAACCAUCAGAGGUAACAGUAGAGACGGGGUUUCACCAUGUUGGCCAGACUGGUCUUGAACUCUCGACCUCGUGAUUCGCCCGCCUCGGCCUCCCAAAGUGCUGGGAUUACAGGUGUGAGACACCACACCCGGCGGAUAGAGAGAAUUUUGACAGGUGAGGAGGUAUUCCAAUGCAAAAGAAUAAUAGGAGCAAAAGCACAGUGGUGAGAAAUUGGAGGGGAACUGUGAAAAUUGCCACAUAGAUUAGAGGCAGGAAAAUAAAGGACGGCUAAGUUUAUAUAGUGAACAGUGAGCCGCAUGGACACAGGUGACUGUUUUCUCCUUUUUGAACCCCUGCUUACUCCAGAGUCACCACCUCUCCUGGCUUUCUGCCAAUCUUCUUGGCCACAGUUUCUCGGUCUUCUUUUCUGGCUUCUCUUCCUUGGCCUGAAUGCUACAUGUUAAGUGAUGUCAGCUUCAGUUUUCUUAACCUCUCUUCUCUUAAGUUGCUAUCAUUUAAAUAUCUUUAAAUAUCAUCUACAUCCAAGUGACCUCUAAACCAGUAAUUUUACCCAUGACCCAUCUCCUCAACUCCGGAUUGUAUAUAAAACUGUCUACUCAACAUCUUCACUUUUGAUGUCUAAAUCUCUAUGUCCAAUUUAGAAUUCUUGAUUCUUUGCUUUCCCUCCCUCCUGGAAAUCCUGCUCUUACCAGUCUUCCCCAUCUUAAUUAAUGAACCUGACAUUCACCUAGUAGCUUAGUCCUCAAAACUAGGGAUUAAUCUAGAUUUAGUCAUUUUUCUUACUCUUGCCAUAUAAUAACAUAUUAUUCUGAGUUUACCUUUACCCGACCCCAAAUAGGUAACUGCUGUUUUUGUUAUAAGAUAGUAAUAUUUGCCUCUGAGUGUAUGUGAAU
rnacentral:lncRNA from 1 species